AGAGUUUGAUCCUGGCUCAGGAUGAACGCUAGCUACAGGCUUAACACAUGCAAGUCGCGGGGCAGCAUGUUGGUUGCUUGCAACCAAUGAUGGCGACCGGCGCACGGGUGAGUAACGCGUAUCCAACCUGGCCCUUAGUAGGGGAUAGCCCGGCGAAAGUCGGAUUAAUACCCUAUGUUUUCCGUUGCGGACAUCUAAUAUGGAACAAAGAUUUAUCGCUAGGGGAUGGGGAUGCGUCCGAUUAGCUUGCCGGCGGGUAACGGCCCACCGGGGCAACGAUCGGUAGGGGUUCUGAGAGGAAGGUCCCCCACAUUGGAACUGAGACACGGUCCAAACUCCUACGGGAGGCAGCAGUGAGGAAUAUUGGUCAAUGGGCGAGAGCCUGAACCAGCCAAGUAGCGUGAGGGAUGACGGCCCUACGGGUUGUAAACCUCUUUUGCCGGGGAAUAAAGUCGGGGACGUGUCCCCGUUUGUAUGUACCCGGAGAAUAAGGACCGGCUAAUUCCGUGCC
rnacentral:rRNA from 1 species